rnacentral:rRNA from 1 species
UACGUAGGGGGCAAGCGUUGUCCGGAUUUAUUGGGCGUAAAGAGCGUGUAGGCGGCCAGGUAGGUCCGCUGUGAAAACUCGAGGCUCAACCUCGAGAUGUCGGCGGAAACCAUCUGGCUAGAGUCCGGAAGAGGAGAGUGGAAUUCCUGGUGUAGCGGUGAAAUGCGUAGAUAUCGGGAGGAACACCAGUGGCGAAGGCGGCUUCCUGGCCUGUUCUUGACGCUGAGGCGCGAAAGCUAGGGGAGCGAAUGGG